UACGUAGGGUGCGAGCGUUAAUCGGAAUUACUGGGCGUAAAGCGUGCGCAGGCGGUGAUGUAAGACAGAUGUGAAAUCCCCGGGCUCAACCUGGGAACUGCAUUUGUGACUGCAUCGCUGGAGUACGGCAGAGGGGGAUGGAAUUCCGCGUGUAGCAGUGAAAUGCGUAGAUAUGCGGAGGAACACCGAUGGCGAAGGCAAUCCCCUGGGCCUGUACUGACGCUCAUACACGAAAGCGUGGGGAGCAACAGG
rnacentral:rRNA from 1 species